rnacentral:rRNA from 1 species
CCUACGGAUGGCAGCAGUGAGGAAUAUUGCGCAAUGGGCGAAAGCCUGACGCAGCGACGCCGCGUGAGGGAUGAAGGUCUUCGGAUCGUAAACCUCUGUCAGCAGGGAAGAACGGUCACUGUGCUAAUCAGCAGUGAAUUGACGGUACCUGCAAAGGAAGCACCGGCUAACUCCGUGCCAGCAGCCUCGGUAAUACGGAGGGUGCGAGCGUUAAUCGGAAUUACUGGGCGUAAAGCGCUCGUAGGCGGUAUGUCAAGUCAAGGGUGAAAUCCCCGCGCUCAACGUGGGAACUGCCUUUGAAACUGGCAAACUGGAGUGUGUGAGAGGAUAGUGGAAUUCCAGGUGUAGGAGUGACAUCCGUAGAUAUCUGGAGGAACAUCAGUGGCGAAGGCGACUAUCUGGCCAUUUACUGACGCUGAGGCUCGAAAGCAUGGGGAUCAAACAGGAUUAGAUACCCGGGUAGUC